rnacentral:tRNA from 1 species
GGGUCCUUACCUCAGCUAGAGCAUUUGACUGCAGAUCAAGAAGUCACCAGUUCGAACCUGGCAGGACCA